UGGAAAGCUACCUAAGGCAAUGCCAUUAGAACCUAUCAUGUCACAUGUGUAAAGGUUAGGCACAAAGGUACGGAUGGCAACGCCGUGACGAAAGCCAUGGAACUAGAGGUUAAUAUCGAAAUCGAGAAAAAUACAGACAAAUAAAGGUCAAACAAAUGGAAAAAGAAGUAUCACUCGUUGGUUAUGGACCAACAUAUGCACAAAUAUCAUGUACGACUACAUACGCGCAGAGGCGGUCGCAUGUGUAAAGGUGGUAUG